rnacentral:lncRNA from 12 species
CGCCCCAGCAGCACACACAAAACCAAGGGAGUUGAGAGAGCCACAGAUGGCUUUUCCUUUUACCUGGGGCAGUUCAGAUGGAAGAAAAAAUCCAGUCUAAAGUUGAUGAGGCAACAGGAAUUUUUUCAUGUUCUGCAGUGCAGUGUCUAAACAAUUGUCUGGCACGACUUGGGCUUAGCACAGAAGCUCUUCACAGUGAGAGUUUUGGAUGUGGCCACCCUGUUUCGAA